CGGCGGCAGGCCUAACACAUGCAAGUCGAACGGUAACAGAAAGCAGCUUGCUGCUUUGCUGACGAGUGGCGGACGGGUGAGUAAUGUCUGGGAAACUGCCCGAUGGAGGGGGAUAACUACUGGAAACGGUAGCUAAUACCGCAUAACGUCGCAAGACCAAAGAGGGGGACCUUCGGGCCUCUUGCCAUCGGAUGUGCCCAGAUGGGAUUAGCUAGUAGGUGGGGUAACGGCUCACCUAGGCGACGAUCCCUAGCUGGUCUGAGAGGAUGACCAGCCACACUGGAACUGAGACACGGUCCAGACUCCUACGGGAGGCAGCAGUGGGGAAUAUUGCACAAUGGGCGCAAGCCUGAUGCAGCCAUGCCGCGUGUAUGAAGAAGGCCUUCGGGUUGUAAAGUACUUUCAGCGGGGAGGAAGGGAGUAAAGUUAAUACCUUUGCUCAUUGACGUUACCCGCAGAAGAAGCACCGGCUAACUCCGUGCCAGCAGCCGCGGUAAUACGGAGGGUGCAAGCGUUAAUCGGAAUUACUGGGCGUAAAGCGCACGCAGGCGGUUUGUUAAGUCAGAUGUGAAAUCCCCGGGCUCAACCUGGGAACUGCAUCUGAUACUGGCAAGCUUGAGUCUCGUAGAGGGGGGUAGAAUUCCAGGUGUAGCGGUGAAAUGCGUAGAGAUCUGGAGGAAUACCGGUGGCGAAGGCGGCCCCCUGGACGAAGACUGACGCUCAGGUGCGAAAGCGUGGGGAGCAAACAGGAUUAGAUACCCUGGUAGUCCACGCCGUAAACGAUGUCGACUUGGAGGUUGUGCCCUUGAGGCGUGGCUUCCGGAGCUAACGCGUUAAGUCGACCGCCUGGGGAGUACGGCCGCAAGGUUAAAACUCAAAUGAAUUGACGGGGGCCCGCACAAGCGGUGGAGCAUGUGGUUUAAUUCGAUGCAACGCGAAGAACCUUACCUGGUCUUGACAUCCACGGAAGUUUUCAGAGAUGAGAAUGUGCCUUCGGGAACCGUGAGACAGGUGCUGCAUGGCUGUCGUCAGCUCGUGUUGUGAAAUGUUGGGUUAAGUCCCGCAACGAGCGCAACCCUUAUCCUUUGUUGCCAGCGGUCCGGCCGGGAACUCAAAGGAGACUGCCAGUGAUAAACUGGAGGAAGGUGGGGAUGACGUCAAGUCAUCACGGCCCUUACGACCAGGGCUACACACGUGCUACAAUGGCGCAUACAAAGAGAAGCGACCUCGCGAGAGCAAGCGGACCUCAUAAAGUGCGUCGUAGUCCGGAUUGGAGUCUGCAACUCGACUCCAUGAAGUCGGAAUCGCUAGUAAUCGUGGAUCAGAAUGCCACGGUGAAUACGUUCCCGGGCCUUGUACACACCGCCCGUCACACCAUGGGAGUGGGUUGCAAAAGAAGUAGGUAGCUUAACCUUCAGGGGGGCGCUUACCACUUUGUGAUUCA
rnacentral:rRNA from 1 species